rnacentral:rRNA from 1 species
GAUGAACGCUAGCGGCAGGCUUAAUACAUGCAAGUCGAGGGGCAGCGCAGUGUAGCAAUACAUGGGCGGCGACCGGCAAACGGGUGCGGAACACGUACGCAACCUACCCAUAACUGAUGAAUAGCCCUCCGAAAGGAGGAUUAAUACAUCGUAACUUAAUGAAGUGGCAUCGCUUUAUUAAUAUAGCUCCGGCGGUUUUGGAUGGGCGUGCGCCUGAGUAGGUAGUUGGCGGGGUAACGGCCCACCAAGCCUGCGAUCAGUAACUGGUGUGAGAGCACGACCAGUCACACGGGCACUGAGACACGGGCCCGACUCCUACGGGAGGCAGCAGUAAGGAAUAUUGGUCAAUGGACGCAAGUCUGAACCAGCCAUGCCGCGUGAAGGAUGAAGGUCCUCUGGAUUGUAAACUUCUUUUGAAUGGGACGAAACCUCUUUUUCUUGAGAGACUGACGGUACCAUUAGAAUAAGCACCGGCUAACUCCGUGCCAGCCGCCGCCGUAAGAC